UUUUAGCCCAGAUCGAAACGGCAUCCUUUUUAGUUGCUAGUGAGGAACGAACUUGCAACUAAAAAGAUAUAGUGGAGAGCUGGAAUAGCU
rnacentral:sRNA from 1 species